GCCCUCCUUAUACCUGGCCAGACCACCCCGGGCUCCAUUCCUCGGAGGCGGUCAACACGAUGUUGUGGCUGUGGUGGGCGCUGGCGUCCGGGGUCGCGCUGCUCGUGACCCGGGUCCGGAGGUUCGUGGGCGGCGGCGGCCCGAACCCCUUCGCUUAAAGACGUGAGGAGGCCGCGGGAGCCGCUGGUGACCGACCGGGAGGCCCGCAAGAGAGUGCUCAAGCAAGGUGGGAGCCGAGACAGCUGACAGGUGCCCUGAGGAGAUGAAAUCCAGAAUAUGGCAGGAAAGAGAAGCUUGGCAACAACCAUGAGACCAGCAGAGAUAUUGCCUAACCAUUUUCAGGAAAUCUUUGAAGGGAGUUUUCUUUGAGUCUAUGUUGGGAAAUUAUCUCUUGUAACAAGGAAAAAUAUGAAUAAAAUUUAAAAAUAAAAUAAACUUAA